rnacentral:rRNA from 1 species
CCCCAGUAACGGCGAGUGAAGCGGCAACAGCUCAAAUUUGAAAUCUGGCCCCCCGGCCCGAGUUGUAAUUUGUAGAGGAUGCUUUUGGUGCGGCGCCUUCCGAGUUCCCUGGAACGGGACGCCAUAGAGGGUGAGAGCCCCGUCUGGUUGGCCGCCAAGCCUCUGUAAAGCUCCUUCGACGAGUCGAGUAGUUUGGGAAUGCUGCUCUAAAUGGGAGGUAUAUGUCUUCUAAAGCUAAAUACCGGCCAGAGACCGAUAGCGCACAAGUAGAGUGAUCGAAAGAUGAAAAGCACUUUGAAAAGAGAGUUAAAUAGCACGUGAAAUUGUUGAAAGGGAAGCGCUUGUGACCAGACUUGGGCUUGGUUAAUCAUCCAGCGUUCUCGCUGGUGCACUUGGCCGGCCCAGGCCAGCAUCAGUUCGGCUUGGGGGAUAAAGGCGUCGGGAACGUGGCUCCCCCGGGAGUGUUAUAGCCCUUCGCGCAAUGCCCUGAGCCGGACUGAGGUUCGCGCAUCUGCAUGGAUGCUGGCGUAAUGGUCAUCAGCGACCCGUCUUGAAACACGGACCAAGGAGUCGUCUUCGUAUGCGAGUGUUCGGGUGUCAAACCCCUACGCGUAAUGAAAGUGAACGCAGGUGAGAGCUUCGGCGCAUCACCGACCGAUCCUGAUGUUCUCGGAUGGAUUUGAGUAAGAGCAUAC